rnacentral:rRNA from 1 species
AUGGCUCCCGCCGCCGACCUUAGCUCGCACGUCCACGCGGCCGCGGACGCCGCACCCAAGUCCCCCGCCAAGCCGAAGCAAGAAGAGAUCAGUCCUGCGGCGGCCGACGUUGACGACGACGUGGAGGCGGGUGGUGGCAGCCCGGGCGGCGACGGCGUCAACUACGUAGCGCGCGCACAGUGGCUCCGCGCGGCCGUCCUGGGCGCCAACGACGGCCUCGUCACCGUGGCCUCCCUCAUGAUCGGCGUUGGCGCCGUCAACGAUUCCAAGCGCGCGAUGCUCGUGUCGGGCGUCGCGGGGCUCGUGUCCGGCGCCUGCAGCAUGGCCAUCGGCGAGUUCGUGUCCGUGUACGCGCAGUACGACAUCGAGGUGGCCCAGAUCAAGCGCAUCCGCGGCGGCGACGGCGACAGGAGCAACCUGCCGAGCCCGAUGCUGGCGGCGGGCGCGUCGGCCCUGGCGUUCGCGGCGGGCGCCGCGCUGCCGCUUCUGAGCGGCGGGUUCGUGCGGACGUGGGCGGGCAGGGUUGUGGCCGUGUGCGCGGCGAGCAGCGUCGGGCUUGCCGGCUUCGGCGUGCUGGGCGCGUACCUGGGCGGCGCGAGCGUGGUGCGGUCCGGGGCCCGGGUGCUGGUGGGAGGGUGGCUCGCCAUGGCCACCACCUACGGGGCGCUUAAGCUCUUCGGAGUGCACGGCGCUUAG